UGCAAAUGAGACACAUUAAGUUACAGUCCAAGUAUAUUCCCGAGGUCUAGCGGUGCCUGGGAAGUUGAGCAUAUUCUACUUUGGAGACAAGUUCUUUCUUCUCUGUAUGCCUGGCAAUCUAAUAAGAUAUGCUCUAUUGUUUCUAGAGCACCACAGCUAUUACAAUAUGGGUCAGUGGGCAAGCAUCGCUUUUGGUUGCUUAGAGGUGUAAAGAAAGAAAGAAACAGAGAGAGAGAAAGAGAGAGAGGGAGACAACACACAGUCCUCACCGUUACGAUAUCACUAUUUUUCUAUAAUUGCCUGUGCAAGCGUGUUGUAUUCAAGAAUUUUAACGGUGCCUUCGUCGCCUUCACCCGCCAUGACUUCUCAGAACGACUUUCCGAAAUGGUUGCUGCCGACAUCGGGCUUUGGUCAAGACGAGCUAGAGAGAUUGCGAGUGAUCGCCUCUGCAUAUUGUAGCGACGCAAGACGCAGAAGGUGUGUUGCAAUGCCCCCUCGUUGCACCUGUUGACACAAAGAGGGCUGUCACCUAUUCCGAUGUGGAAAGAAAAAAUUACAUCGUGAAAACCACUCUUAGGUAUAACUAGUAAUGAAGAGUGGCCUCUUUUUGGGGGAGUACAAGUUGGCAUCUGAAAAUAAAGUGUUCGGGUGGGGGUGAACAGAGUGUUAGAAGUUAG
rnacentral:lncRNA from 1 species